GGGUGAGUAACACGUAUGCAACCUGCCCCUGUCAGGGGGACAACCCGCCGAAAGGCGGGCUAAACCCGCGUACAUGCCACCGGGGCAUCCCGGAGGCAGGAAAGGCUUCGGCCGGACAGGGAUGGGCAUGCGGCGCAUUAGGCAGUAGGCGGGGUAACGGCCCACCUAACCGACGAUGCGUAGGGGUUCUGAGAGGAAGGUCCCCCACACUGGUACUGAGACACGAACCAGACUCCUACGGGAGGCAGCAGUGAGGAAUAUUGGUCAAUGGUCGGGAGACUGAACCAGCCAAGCCGCGUGAGGGAUGAAGGUACAGAGUAUCGUAAACCUCUUUUGUCGGGGAACAAAGGCGGGGACGUGUCCCCGGAUGAGUGUACCUGAAGAAAAAGCAUCGGCUAACUCCGUGCCAGCAGCCGCGGUAAUACGGAGGAUGCGAGCGUUAUCCGGAUUUAUUGGGUUUAAAGGGUGCGCAGGCGGUCUGUUAAGUCAGCGGUCAAAGCCCGGGGCUCAACCCCGGCCCGCCGUUGAAACUGGCAGUCUCGAGUUGGAGAGAAGUAUGCGGAAUGCGCGGUGUAGCGGUGAAAUGCAUAGAUAUCGCGCAGAACUCCGAUUGCGAAGGCAGCAUGCCGGCUCCACACUGACGCUGAGGCACGAAAGCGUGGGUAUCGAACAGGAUUAGAUACCCUGGUAGUCCACGCAGUAAACGAUG
rnacentral:rRNA from 1 species